UACAGAAGCCCCAAGCGUUACCCGGAUUUAUUGGGCGUAAAGGGUGUGUAGGCGGUGUGAUUAGUCGGGUGUUAAAUCGUAAGGCUCAACCUUACGCUCGCGCUCGAAACGGUCACACUAGAAGGAGUGAGAGGUGAAUGGAACUCAAGGUGUAGGGGUGAAAUCCGUUGAUAUCUUGGGGAACACCAAAUGCGAAGGCAAUUCACUGGCACUUUCUUGACGCUGAGACACGAAAGCGUGGGUAGCGAAUGGG
rnacentral:rRNA from 1 species